rnacentral:rRNA from 1 species
CCUACGGGCGACAGCAGUGAGGAAUAUUGGUCAAUGGACGCAAGUCUGAACCAGCCAUGCCGCGUGCAGGAAGACGGCUCUAUGAGUUGUAAACUGCUUUUGUACGAGGGUAAACGCAGAUACGCGUAUCUGUCUGAAAGUAUCGUACGAAUAAGGAUCGGCUAACUCCGUGCCAGCAGCCGCGGUAAUACGGAGGAUUCAAGCGUUAUCCGGAUUUAUUGGGUUUAAAGGGUGCGUAGGCGGUCGGAUAAGUUAGAGGUGAAAUCCCGAGGCUCAACUUCGGAAGUGCCUCUGAUACUGUUCGGCUAGAGAGUAGUUGCGGUAGGCGGAAUGUAUGGUGUAGCGGUGAAAUGCUUAGAGAUCAUACAGAACACCGAUUGCGAAGGCAGCUUACCAAGCUACUUCUGACGUUGAGGCACGAAAGCGUGGGUAGCAAACAGGAUUAGAUACCCGGGUAGUC